rnacentral:rRNA from 1 species
GACGAACGCUGGCGGCGUGCUUAACACAUGCAAGUCGAACGGUGAAGCGCCUUCCUUUUUGGUGGGUGUGGAUGAGUGGCGAACGGGUGAGUAACACGUGAGUAACCUGCCUCCUUCUUCUGGAUAACCGCAUGAAAGUGUGGCUAAUACGGGAUAUUCUGGGUCUGUCGCAUGAUGGGUCUGGGAAAGAUAUUGCUUCGGUGGGGGAUGGGCUCGCGGCCUAUCAGGUUGUUGGUGGGGUGAUGGCCUAGCAAGGCGGUGACGGGUAGCCGGCCUGAGAGGGUGGACGGUCACACGGGGACGGAUACACGGCCCAGACUCCGACGGGAGGCAGCGGUGGGGAAUAGUGCACAAUGGGCGCAAGCCUGAUGCAGCGACGCCGCGGGAGGGAUGGAGGCCUUCGGGUUGUGAACCUCUGUCGCCAGUGAAGCAGGCCUGCCUCGUAUGUGGGUGGGUUGACGGUAGCUGGAGAAGAAGCACCGGCUAACUACGUG